GCGUGGGCUUGGUUAGUACUUGGAUGGGAGACCACCUGGGAAAACUAAGGUGCUGCUGGAAGUGGUGUUGGUGGGCUAGCAGGGGGGUAAUCUUCCCUCUGGUAAACCCCAAUGCCCCAGUGCAGUGACAGGGACACUGUACUGUAGGUACAGUGAAAAGCACCUAAUUAAAUUUAAACAUGAAAAGCACCUAAUUAAGAAAAAUUAACAGCUUGUUAAAAUUCUGGGAUUUCUGUUGAGGUUGGAAUGAAAACCAGCAUACACAGGGGUCACACAGGACAGAGUUUGAGAACCACCAACCAGGAGAUGCUGUCUUUCGGAUGAGAUGUUACCCCAUAACACUUGUCACAAAGAGUAGGGGGUUCCCCGGCGUCCUGGCUAAAUUCUCAACCUGGUUCUCAAACUUACCACAUAAUCAUCCCCUGAUUUAAUUGGCUAAAAUGUUCUCUCCCUCUCCACCUUCGCUAAUGUGUGGUGAGCGUUCUGGCGCAAAAUGGCUGCCGUGCAUCACCCAGGUGGGUGCUACAGAUUGCUGGUGGGUGAGGUGAGUUCCCACUCAUCACUGUAAAGAACUUUGAGCAUUCAAAAUAACGCUAUAUAAAUGCAAUGAUUCGUUCAUUCAUGCUGUAAGAUGCCUGCUCAUUCCACAUGUUGAACCCGUCAAGGCUUGACAGCGCAGUGUCCGUUUGAAAAUUGAGCUUUAAAGGUUGCUGGCUCAAGUCUCAGAUGAGGCUCUAGCUUCUGCAAGCUGUUUUGAGUGAAGAAUGUGUAAGACUUGUAAGCAAUGAGGUAUUUAGUAAGUAAACAAUGUCAAAUUACGUUGUGAAAAUUAUGUAGAGCAUCUAAACGUGUUAAAGUUGUGGAACGUUGACACAUGUUAUGUCCACUGUAGGGGCAACGGCAACCAACAGGGCAGAGCCUUCAUCAAAAACAUAUGAUGCUGAGGGUGUGGGACUACUGUGCGAGAUUCUCUUUUGCUGCAUUGCCAGAAUCAUAGAGGGAAGUUUCUGCAUGGGGUGAUGUUGGAACAAGCUUUGGGUCUUCGUGACAAAGCAGGUCACUACUUUGUCAUGCUGAAUAAUUUAAAGCCAUCUGAGAGAAAGAGUAUCUUUUUU